GAUGAACGCUGGCGGCGUGCCUAAUACAUGCAAGUCGAGCGAACAGAUGAGAAGCUUGCUUCUCUGAUGUUAGCGGCGGACGGGUGAGUAACACGUGGGUAACCUACCUAUAAGACUGGGAUAACUCCGGGAAACCGGGGCUAAUAACGGAUAAUAUUUUGAACCGCAUGGUUCGAUAGUGAAAGACGGUUUCGGCUGUCACUUAUAGAUGGACUCGCGCCGUAUUAGCUAGUUGGUAAGGUAACGGCUUACCAAGGCGACGAUACGUAGCCGACCUGAGAGGGUGAUCGGCCACACUGGAACUGAGACACGGUCCAGACUCCUACGGGAGGCAGCAGUAGGGAAUCUUCCGCAAUGGGCGAAAGCCUGACGGAGCAACGCCGCGUGAGUGAUGAAGGUCUUCGGAUCGUAAAACUCUGUUGUUAGGGAAGAACAAAUUUGUUAGUAACUGAACAAGUCUUGACGGUAUCUUACCAGAAAGCCACGGCUAACUACGUGCCAGCCGCCGCGGUAA
rnacentral:rRNA from 1 species